rnacentral:rRNA from 2 species
UAGAACGUCGUGAGACAGUUCGGUCCCUAUCUGCCGUGGGCGCUGGAGAAUUGAGGGGGGCUGCUCCUAGUACGAGAGGACCGGAGUGGACGCAUCACUGGUGUUCGGGUUGUCAUGCCAAUGGCACUGCCCGGUAGCUAAAUGCGGAAGAGAUAAGUGCUGAAAGCAUCUAAGCACGAAACUUGCCCCGAGAUGAUUUCUCCCUGAGACUUUAAGUCUCCUGAAGGAACGUUGAAGACGACGACGUUGAUAGGCCGGGUGUGUAAGCGCAGCGAUGCGUUGAGCUAACCGGUACUAAUGAACCGUGAGGCUUAACCUUA